GGGGCCAGCUUCCUUUGAAAUCCGUUAGAUUGAAGCCGUUCUGAACUCUCAGACAAGGAUUUCCUCAGUGUCUCUCUCUCUAUCCUCAGACGCUAACCCAAUUCGUCUCUCUCAUUUUGCUGUGCCCUCUGCUUCGCCCCACUUCUUUGGCGCCGAGUUUGAACUCCUUCGAUGGUGGCGGAGAAAAACCUUGCUUCACUUCUCAGCCUGUUGAGGUGGGCCAAAACCCUAACCCUAACCCUAAUCCCAUCCCCAACUCUGCCCUUUUUCUUUUUCUUUCGUCUCUGGAUUCUCUGAUCUCCAUGGGCUCUCAAAGGUUGUUACUUUCCCGUGAAAACCCUAGGCCCCUGGGUUUCCCUCCUGGGCGAGUGCUCCCUUCUGCCGCUGCAAAAUCCAUACCCAAUGAGAUGGCUCCGAAGCCACUUGCUUCUUCGAUAUUGGAACGGUUCAAGGCUCUGCUCAAGCAGCGAGACGAUGAACAGAGGGCUUUGUCCGACGACGAUGUGCUUCCGCCGUCCACCGAUGAGAUUGUUCAACUUUACGAGAUAGUCUUAUCCGAGCUUACUUUAAAUUCGAAGCCCAUCAUCACCGAACUUACCAUCAUUGCGGGAGACCAGAAGGAGCAUGGCAGGGGAAUAGCUGAUGCAAUUUGCGAUCGAAUUAUUGAGGUGCCUUCGGAGCACAAGCUUCCUUCACUGUAUCUUUUAGACAGUAUUGUGAAGAAUAUUGGUGGGGAGUAUGUUGGAUACUUCUCCUCACGUCUUCCUGAAGUCUUCUGUGUAGCAUAUCGGCAAGUCCAGCCUAAUUUGCAUCAUGCAAUGCGUCAUCUCUUUGGUACCUGGUCAGCUGUCUUUCCACCUUCUGUCCUUCGCAAGAUUGAAGUGCAGCUGCGUUUUUCUCAAGCAGUUAAUAAUCAGAAUGUAUCAUCUAGCAUUAAUCCCCCUAGGGUGUCUGAAGCUACACAGCGAACUCAUGGCAUUCAUGUUAAUCCAAAAUACCUGCGGCAGUUGGAAAACUCAACCAUGGACACUGAUGGGGGUGAAAUGUUGGAUUCAACAGGAAGCAUGGAACAUACAAAUUUUGGUGUUGGAGCUAAUAAGAUGCAUCAAGCUUCAAUAAGCAGGCAUGGGAAACAGUAUUCUGGUGAUGGUCUGAGUCAAUUUCAAUUUUCCACAAAUGGACAUCAACGCCAAAAUCCAAGAGCUCUCAUUGAUGCUUAUGGCAGUGACAAAAGGACUGAAAUUUCAAGCAAUAAGCCGCUGGUUGAACCACUUGACAUAAAUGGUAUAGACAACAAGGUGGUGUCAACAUCAUGGCAGAAUACUGAAGAAGAGGAGUUUAAUUGGGAAGAUAUGAGUCCAACAUUAGUAGAGCAUAAGAGAAGUAAUGGGGUCUUACCAUCAUCAAUUAUUUUGUCUAGGGAAAGAUCUAGUGGUAUUGUUGCAGCUAAUACUGCUGCUUUGGGUCAAGAUACCAGAAGCGGUUGGGUUAGUCAAUCUCAGCUUCCUCUCAUGAAUGAUUCUUCUAUUAUAGCAGAAGAUGCAUUUGUGUUGCCGGAUAAUGGUGGCGGAUCAUUAGGUCAGAUAACUGGAUUGCAUAAUCACUUAAAUCAUGGUCUGGGCUCCCAUCCUCCUCAUGAUGCCUUGAAGAUUUCACAUCAUUUGCCUAACUCUUCACAUCACCUUGUUAAUAUUAGAGGUCGAGCAAGGAAUGCUCAUUUGUCUCAUAUUGAUAGCAUCCCGAUUACUAAAGUAAGCUCAUAUGGGCUUGAGAUUCGUCCACCAACUUUACCUGCAUCUUUUCGAGCCAGGCCCCCUGUAAAUGUGCAUGCUACUCGUCCACCCUCCUUAAAUCCUAUUUUUUCAUUGCAGAAACAUGUUAGGAGUCAGUUUGAAGCAAUAAAUAGUAGUAACACCAUUUUAGAUCAAGGUCCUACUAAAUCUUCAUUCAUGCCUGAACAGCUGUUGGAUAGUGAUGAGAACAGUAAUAUUAGUAAAUUAACAUUUCGGCAGAUUCCUAAUCAGCUAUCAGGGCUAAUUUCAUCAAACCCGCAAAACCGUGGGCAAGCACUUCAACCUCAAACUUUUCCAUCUCAGGAUGUGCGAGAAAGUUAUUCUGAAUUGCAAGCUCCAGCAGCUUCUCAAUUUAGUCAUGGGGGUUCUUUGCAAAGACAUGGUGCUGCUAUCAGUGCAACUGUGUCCAUGUCGUUACCUAUUGGACAGUUUCCUUUACCAGUCCAAAACAUCAGAAAAAAUGUUUUUCCUAUGCAGCAGGGAGCCUUGCCUCCUUCAUUUUCAGGUCCUUGCCCUCCAUCACAAGUGAUGCCUCAUACAAAUGAUAGUCCUUAUACCUCAACUAAACAGCCAGCUGGUGCAUUUUCUGGUCUUAUCAAUUCACUUAUGGCACAAGGUUUGAUCUCAUUGAUUGGACCACCCGCUGUUCAGGAUUCUGUUGGAACUGAGUUUAAUCCAGAUAUUCUGAAGAUCCGGCAUGAGUCUGCAAUUAGUGCUUUAUAUUUUGACCUCCCUCGACAAUGCACAACUUGUGGCCUCCGAUUCAAGUGUCAAGAGGAGCACAGUAGUCAUAUGGAUUGGCAUGUGACUAAGAAUCGGAUGUCUAAAAGUCGUAAGCAGAAGCCUUCUCGUAAGUGGUUUGUGAGUGAGAGAAUGUGGCUUAGUGGUGCGGAGGCAUUGGGAACUGAAGCAGUACCUGGUUUUUUGCCAACUGAAACGAUGGAGGAAAAUAAAGAAGAUGAAGAGAUGGUUGUGCCAGCUGAUGAAGAUCAGAAUACAUGUGCAUUAUGUGGAGAGCCUUUUGAAGAGUUUUAUAGUGAUGAAACUGAGGAAUGGAUGUUUAAAGGAGCUGUAUACCUAAAUGCGCCCAAGGGAGGAGUGGCAGACAUGGAUAGGUCGCAGUUAGGUCCAAUUGUUCAUUCUAAAUGCAGAUCUGAAUCUAGUGCUGUUCCCACUGAAGAAUCUAGACAGGAUGACGGGGGCCAUCAAUGCUCCUGCUGCCGAUCCUAGUUGUAUCUGAAAAUGUACCAAAUUGUGCCGGACAUGUGAGAUUUGACUAUGAAACACAGGCAUACAACAUGACACGGACAUUUUACUCACUUGUUUUCACCAAAAAGAAAGCAAUAAUAAUAGCAAAAUAAAACAACAGAUGUUGGGGACGCUAAUGAAGAGGGUAGUCAAAGAAAACGAAUGCGGAUUUGAGUUAAUCCUUUUUUGUACUAUAACUUACAAGUUUCCAGUUAGUGAAAGCUCUUACUUAUUUUUAUUUAUUUUUUAAAUGGUAGACUUUCUUGUAUCGUGGCCCCAUGACAGAAUCAUGUACAUGUAUGAUAGGACUGGAAACGUGUCAUCUUUUCUUGAAGCCUAAUCUCAGAAGUUAUAUCUUAACCACA